GGAGGAUUGGCCGAGUGGUAAGGCAGCGGCUUGCGCUGUGCUUGAUCAGCAGCAGGUCGUCGUCGGGGUCAGCCCCGCGCGCGUUCGAUCCGCGCAUCCUCCG
rnacentral:tRNA from 1 species